rnacentral:rRNA from 1 species
AGCAGCCGCGGUAAUUCCAGCUCCAAUAGCGUAUAUUAAAGUUGUUGCAGUUAAAAAGCUCGUAGUUGAAUUUCGGGAUCAAUUAAUUGGUCGUGCCUCUGGUACGUACUGAUUUUUAUUGGUUUCUCCCUUCUGACGAACCAUGAUGUCAUUAAUUUGGUGUCGUGGAGAAUCAGGACUGUUACUUUGAAAAAAUUAGAGUGUUUAAAGCAAGCUAACGCUUGAAUACAUUAGCAUGGAAUAAUGGAAUAGGACGUUUGAUCCUAUUUUGUUGGUUUCUAGGAUCGACGUAAUGAUUAAUAGGGAUAGUUGGGGGCAUUAGUAUUCAAUUGUCAGAGGUGAAAUUCUUGGAUUUAUUGAAGACUAACUACUGCGAAAGCAUUUGCCAAGGAUGUUUUCAUUAAUCAAGAACGAAAGUUAGGGGAUCGAAGACGAUCAGAUACCGUCGUAGUCUUAACCAUAAACUAUGCCGACUAGGGAUCGGAUGAUGUUAAUUUUUAAUUGACUCAUUCGGCGCCUU